rnacentral:rRNA from 1 species
AUUCAAAGGGACGAAAGUCUGACGGAGCAACGCCGCGUGAGUGAAGAAGGCCUUCGGGUCGUAAAACUCUGUUGCCGGGGAAGAACAAGUGCCGUUCGAACAGGGCGGCGCCUUGACGGUACCCGGCCAGAAAGCCACGGCUAACUACGUGCCAGCAGCCGCGGUAAUACGUAGGUGGCAAGCGUUGUCCGGAAUUAUUGGGCGUAAAGCGCGCGCAGGCGGCUUCUUAAGUCUGAUGUGAAAUCUUGCGGCUCAACCGCAAGCGGUCAUUGGAAACUGGGAGGCUUGAGUGCAGAAGAGGAGAGUGGAAUUCCACGUGUAGCGGUGAAAUGCGUAGAGAUGUGGAGGAACACCAGUGGCGAAGGCGGCUCUCUGGUCUGUAACUGACGCUGAGGCGCGAAAGCGUGGGGAGCAAACAGGAUUAGAUACCCUGGUAGUCCACGCCGUAAACGAUGAGUGCUAAGUGUUAGAGGGUUUCCGCCCUUUAGUGCUGCAGCUAACGCAUUAAGCACUCCGCCUGGGGAGUACGGCCGCAAGGCUGAAACUCAAAGGAAAUUGACGGA